rnacentral:rRNA from 1 species
GAUGAACGCUAGCGGCAGGCUUAACACAUGCAAGUCGAGGGGCAGCAUGAGACGGAGAUUCGUCGAAGUCUUGAUGGCGACCGGCGCAAGGGUGCGUAACGCGUGAGCAACUUGCCCGUUUCAGGGGGAUAACCGGUGGAAACGCCGACUAAUACCCCAUGGUAUGUUUUUGAGGCAUCUCUUAAACAUUAAAGAAUUUCGGAAACGGAUAGGCUCGCGUGACAUUAGCUAGAUGGCGGGGUAACGGCCCACCAUGGCGACGAUGUCUAGGGGUUCUGAGAGGAAGGUCCCCCACACUGGAACUGAGACACGGUCCAG